AAAACUUGUUUUUUUUGUGUGUUUUUUUCUCAGGUUGGAGUAGUUAAUCUGUUCCUUUACAUGAUAAUGUAUUCUCAGAUGCAUCUUGUAAUGUGGUUGGAGUGUGUAAUCCGUCUUUUUUCAUGACAAAAUGGUUACUCUGAUGCAUUUUGUAAUGUGUUAAAAUAUUUUUUUAUACU